CCUACGGGUGGCUGCAGUGAGGAAUAUUGGUCAAUGGGCGCAAGCCUGAACCAGCCAUCCCGCGUGCAGGAAGACGGCGCUAUGCGUUGUAAACUGCUUUUCCAGGGGAAGAAAACCUGAUACGUGUAUCGGCUUGCCGGUACCCUGGGAAUAAGCAUCGGCUAACUCCGUGCCAGCAGCCGCGGUAAUACGGAGGAUGCGAGCGUUAUCCGGAUUUAUUGGGUUGAAGGGGUGUGUAGGCGUCAGUAGAGAAAACCUGCAGCUUAACUGUAGAAUUGCCAUUGAUACUGUUAGUCUUGAGUACGGUCAAGGUAGGCGGAAUGUGUAAUGUAGCGGUGAAAUGCUUAGAUAUUACACAGAACACCGAUUGCGAAGGCAGCUUACUGGGCCAUUACUGACGCUGAUGCACGAAAGCGUGGGGAGCGAACAGGAUUAGAUACCCCUGUAGUC
rnacentral:rRNA from 1 species